rnacentral:rRNA from 1 species
CGUACACUCCUACGGGAGGCAGCAGUGGGGAAUAUUGGACAAUGGGCGCAAGCCUGAUCCAGCCAUGCCGCGUGAGUGAUGAAGGCCCUAGGGUUGUAAAGCUCUUUCACCGGUGAAGAUAAUGACGGUAACCGGAGAAGAAGCCCCGGCUAACUUCGUGCCAGCAGCCGCGGUAAUACGAAGGGGGCUAGCGUUGUUCGGAUUUACUGGGCGUAAAGCGCACGUAGGCGGACUAUUAAGUCAGGGGUGAAAUCCCGGGGCUCAACCCCGGAACUGCCUUUGAUACUGGUAGUCUUGAGUUCGAGAGAGGUGAGUGGAAUUCCGAGUGUAGAGGUGAAAUUCGUAGAUAUUCGGAGGAACACCAGUGGCGAAGGCGGCUCACUGGCUCGAUACUGACGCUGAGGUGCGAAAGCGUGGGGAGCAAACAGGAUUAGAAACCCGUGUAGUCCCAUGA